rnacentral:sRNA from 1 species
AUUUUUAUUUUAGAGACGGGAAAGACUGAGUAAAUGUGAGAAAAUUAGCUGAAUAGCCACUACUUUUUUUCUGGCAUAACCUACCCCUGCUUAAGAACUUCCACGGGCCUUUGAUUGGGGUUUUUAACCACUUUAACAAACCAUGUAACCCUGAGAGCUAUACUUGUUGGACAACAUGGUGUAAUGUACCACAGGCUGUAGAGCCAGAUACUGGGGUUUGAAUCCUUAUUCAACAUGGGAACAUAGGAGCUAUAUGACAUUAAACAACUGUCUUGUCUUCACUAAAUUUCUAUCAACUCAUUUGUAUUGUGGAGAUAAUAGAGCCUGCUUUUACAGGGUAAGUGAGAUAAAAUGAAUAAAGUGUCUAGACAAUAUCAUAGCAUAGUAGGUAUUCAAUCCUGGUGAGAUCCUGUUUAUAAGGCCCACUACUUCGUUUUAUCAGACAGAAUAACAAAGGAACAAUAUUUAAAAAGCAACUAGCUCAAAUCUGUCCCCAGAAGGAAAAACAUAUCUUGUCCUUGGUCCUUAAAAAAUUUCCUCUGUCACUGUCUAGAAGCACAGCACCUAAGAACACAGGCGUUUAGUGUUGACUGGAAUAAAAUGGAAUCAGGUGCUGGUGCAGGGAGAUUGAGCAGGGAUGAAGAGAGAAAGUCACAGAGUGGAAAGGUUCAGGUUUGGAGAGUUCAAUGGGGGGGAGCCAGGACAUAAGCCUAAUAUUUGUGGGACAAGGAAACCCCUCUGAAACUCAUAAAAUGGCAUUUUAAUACCCAUCUACGAGGUGGUUAAGAGAAUUAAUAAGUAAGUAGAACUGUGCUUUGUGAAUUGUAAAGUGAAUUUAUAUAUAAGGUGUCAAGAUGAAAGGGAAAAACUAAGAAAUAAGUUGCCCAAAGAUAUCAUUAGGACCAGGAGACCAUUAUAAAGCAUAUCCAGGCCGGGCGCGGUGGCUCACGCCUGUAAUCCCAGCACUUUGGGUGGCCGAAGCAGGCGGAUCACAAGGUCAGGAGUUCAAGACCAGCCUGGCCAACAUGGAGAAACCCUGUCUCUACUAAAAAUACAAAAAAUUAGCCAGGCAUGGUGGCGCAUGCCUCUAAUCCCAGCUACUCGGGUGGCUGAGGCAGGAGAAUUGCUUGAACCCGGGAGGCUGGAGUGCAGUGGCAUCAUCUUGGUUCACUGUAACUUCUGCCUCUCAGGUCCAAACAAUCCUCCCACCUCAGCCUCCCGAAUAACUGGAACUACAGGGAUGCACCACCACACCCAGCUGAUUUUUUAAUUUUUUUUGUAGAGAUGGGAUUUUGCCAUGUUGCCCAGGCUGGUUUUGAACUCCUGGGUUCAAGCCAUCUGCCCACCUCAGCUUCCCAAAAAGCUGGGAUUACAGGCUUGAGCCACUGCACCCAGCCUGUUGAUCAUGUUCAUUAAUCUGUUUGAACUCCAUAUAUUAAGGAAAUUAGUCCUUUGUCAAAUAUGUUGGAAAUAUUCCCUCCAGUUUGUCACUUACUUUCAUUUUGUUGGUGGUUUUUCUGUUUUGUUUUUGUUUUUCUGUGGGUUUUUUUUUUUUUUUUUUUUUUUUGCCAUGGACAUGUCUUUAGUACUUAUGUAGUAGUCAGAUGUAUUACUCAUUUUUUCUAUGCUCUGGAUCUUAUGCUUUGAAUGGCUUUUUGUGAAUUCCAAUAUUUUAAAAAUAAUUUACCCCUAGCUUCAGUUCUUACAUUUAAAUUUUUGUUCCUUCUGGAAUUUUAGUGAAUGUGGACAAGGUUAUGCUUCAGUUGCCUUAACUAGUUGCCUUGGCAUCAUUAAUAAGUUUUCUUUUCCUCUACUG